GGCCUGACAGCCUUCCAAGACCAAGACCAAAAUGGCGGGGCAACUGUCAAGGCUUAGUGUCGAGUCCUUCACAUUUGAGGCUCGAGAGGACGUGUUCCAUGGCCUCCUGCACCCCUGGCCUCUCCCCAAGCUGCUGUUCUGGGAUGAAAGUAAAGUUGGCAAUAGAAAAGAAAUGUGAGCCAGAUGGAUGGAGUUACAAAAUCAACCAAGAAAGAGAAAGCAACCACUGAACCCUUGCAGUGUUUAGCAUGCACAAGUUGGACCUGUUGGAAGCCAUGGAGAGCUGAGCCAUCUGGCAUCAUGAUGAGUCCAGGCACCAACUGUCUACCUCCUCCAACUGCAGGUCCUCCCAUCUGUCCCAUGGCAUUUACACUCCCCACCACA